GGGAACUAUAAUAGCAAGGACUUUGCUUGUUGUUGUUCUUAGGUACAUAAACUAACUGAAGCAGGGGGUUAUUCUUCUAGAGACUGUAAUAUUAUGACAGAAGAUAUUUCCUGUACAGUUUUAAGAAGCAGAAGCAAGAAAGAAAUCUCAAAAGUCAAUGUCUCAUUAAAUGGCAGUGCUAGACCCUAGACAAGGGUUAGGAACCUCUGAAUCUCUUUUUUAAAUCUAACCAGAGCUACUGUGUUUGGGGUGGAAAAAAAGACUGUAAUACUAACUUACUCACCCUACACACUGGGGCUUGUAUCUACAGAUCAGUAGAUACUGGGGGAAGUGAUGAACUUCCUACACGCACAGUGCGCUAAACCUCGUUCUAUGCUACUUGUGGGUGGAGUGUUCCUGAGUGUGGGGAACAGGUAUGUCCUUGUCAGCUUGGUCUGCUACCUCUGAACUUUAGCUACAUUUAGGGUAGUAACACCUGCUGAGAAACAGCAGCAUUUCUCACUACUAUUUAGCUGCAAAUAAGGCAGAAGUAACCAGGUAUUUUCUGAGAGCUACUAGAGAAUGUGUGUAAAUUUCUAUCAGUUCAAUUCUUAAAGAAAAACCAAC
rnacentral:lncRNA from 1 species